GCGCUGAGCUUGUCAGCAGAGCAUGAGACUCUUAAUCUCAGGGCUGUGGGUUUCAGCCCCACGUUGGGCA